UGAGCCCAGCCUUUGCUUGCAGCCAAAACAGGAAAGAGAAUGAAGGAGACUAGAAAUACCAUAAAGACAAACUUGGAGCUAGUGCCGACCAAACCAAUUCCCUGCUUCAGAAAUGGAACGGUGCUGAACUGUCAGCUGAAGAAGGCUGCACAGCUUGAAAGAGGAAGCGUCAAAGGAAGCUUGGUGGAGAGGAGAGUGUGAAUAGGGAAGUGCCAACAGGGACACGUGCAGGGGGUGGGAAGGCAGGCAGGACGCCCAGUGAGAGUGACAGAGGCCAGCAGAGCACGAGUGUGCAAGGAAACACGGAAUGAGAGGCUGCGUGGGUGACAGAGUGUGCCGGGGUGACAGGCGGAUACGGCACAUGACGCAGAGUGGAAGACAACCACAGUGAAGUGUAAACAAAGACCUGCAGGAAGUAAAGGGGCUACAAGGGAUCCAUGGAAAGAGCAUUCCCAGAAGGGGGGCCGGGGCAGUGCGCGCAGUGAGGAGAGCAGGUGUGUGUGAGGUGAGUAAGAGAAGACACAAGGGUGGGGGCCGCGGGAGGCAGAGCCAGGAGGGCAGGGCUGAGUGGCUCUGGAAGCUCUGGAAAGGCCAGCGGUCAGGCCUGAUGGUGGGUCUGAGCAGAGUCGCUUUGUGACACCCUUCUGCUACUGCAUGGGGCGAGGGAAGAAUCCCAGGAUGGGGUCUGGGAGGCAGGAGCACAGAGGCGACAGGGUGGUGACCUGCCCAUUGGCCUCGGGCGGUAUUCUGAAUGCAAGGGUCAGCAGCAGCAACUGUGCAAUAGUGCCUUCCUUUUCAAAGAGCCAGCUGCUCUGAUUCACAGACAGUCCCUCCCAGUUGAGGGUUCAUCAGGAACUAGAGGACCAAACAACAAGGUCAUUUACCUGUCGCCAUUGCUGCAUUCACUGUUGAAACAAAACGUUCAAAGCCCCCUCGGAAGCCCAUCCACAGGUGUGUGACUGUGAACCGCAUCGUAAUCUCCUAGAAAGCAAGAACAUCAGGCUUACAUUUUCCACUUGCCUCUCAGGGCUCAGAGCUCUGCAGUAUAUACAACUUUUCAGCCAGGGGCAAUUUGCCCCCCUGCCGCGGAGACAUUUGGCAAUGUCUGGAGACACUUUUGGAGUCACAAAUCAGGGGAGAGAUGCUGCUGGUACAUAGUAGUGAGGAAACUGGGCCCUGAGACAUUAACUUGCCCAAAAGAUCACAGUGGGCAACAUUCUAGAGCACAAUGGAAGCCGACAGAAUGUCAGUGAAGACGGAAAACAGAACGUGGAGAGAGAUGUAGCUACUAGACCCCUGUGGCUUCAAUCCCCACCAGGAAUGUCGUUUAAGAGGAAGGUGAUCUAGCACAAAUUCACAUUUGCUUGAGGAAGAAUACAAAUACAUAUCACACACCAAGCGUGUGCAAAGCACUCUACCUAAAGAUCAGCGCUAACAGAGGAAUAAGCAGAGGCCUCCAGGAGCAAAGAGUGAAAAGUCUGGCAAGGCUUCAAGUACGGGGGAAGUGGGUGGAGCUUUCACUGUAGAAUCUUUCCUGGAGAAAAAGCAAAGAGUGGGGCAACAAUAAAGGCAUUAAAAAUAACUGUCAAGUUGAAGAAAAAGUGAGUAGUGAUGUGGCUGGAUUCUAGGGAGAUGGGGCUGUGUAAAGGCAGAGUGUACAAGCCUCUGCCAGAAUUCACAUUCACACACCACAGCCAGAAGAGCCGGCAAAUUACAUGGGGAAAAACCCUGCACAAGCUCGCCUUGUGCUGACAUGUACUAUUAUUAUACACUCUGUGCCUU
rnacentral:lncRNA from 1 species